rnacentral:rRNA from 1 species
UACGGGGGGGGCAAGCGUUGUUCGGAAUUACUGGGCGUAAAGGGCUCGUAGGUGGUCAACUAAGUCGGACGUGAAAUCCCUCGGCUUAACCGGGGAACUGCGUCCGAUACUGGAUGACUUGAGUUCGGGAGAGGGAUGCGGAAUUCCAGGUGUAGCGGUGAAAUGCGUAGAUAUCUGGAGGAACACCGGUGGCGAAGGCGGCAUCCUGGACCAAUAUUGACGCUGAGGAGCGAAAGCCAGGGGAGCAAACGGG